rfam:Triticum aestivum genome assembly, contig: Triticum_aestivum_CS42_TGACv1_scaffold_423630_5BS
AAAAUACUCCCUCUGUCCGAAAAUACUUGUCAUCAAAAUGACUAAAAAGGAAUGUAUCUAAAACUAAAAUACGUCUAGAUACAUCUCUUUUUAUCCAUUUUGAUGACAAGUAUUUCCGGACGGAGGGAGUAGAUU